rnacentral:rRNA from 1 species
ACUCCUACGGGAGGCAGCAGUGGGGAAUAUUGCACAAUGGGCGCAAGCCUGAUGCAGCCAUGCCGCGUGUAUGAAGAAGGCCUUCGGGUUGUAAAGUACUUUCAGCAGUGAGGAAGGUGGGUAUGUUAAUAGCAUACUCAUUUGACGUUAGCUGCAGAAGAAGCACCGGCUAACUCCGUGCCAGCAGCCGCGGUAAUACGGAGGGGUUAGCGUUGUUCGGAAUUACUGGGCGUAAAGCGCGCGUAGGCGGACUAGAAAGUUGGGGUGAAAUCCCGGGGCUCAACCUCGGAACUGCCUUCAAACUCCUAGUCUAGAGUUCGAGAGAGGUGAGUGGAAUUCCAAGUGUAGAGGUGAAAUUCGUAGAUAUUUGGAGGAACACCAGUGGCGAAGGCGGCUCACUGGCUCGAUACUGACGCUGAGGUGCGAAAGUGUGGGGAGCAAACAGGAUUAGAUACCCUGGUAGCUACGAGU